rnacentral:piRNA from 1 species
CAGUUCUGAAUGGAGCCAUUCCC